CUUUACUGUAACUUGAGAUUGAAAUUGGACUUUACUUGCGCAGUAUAGGUGGGAGGCGUUGAAAAUUUUCUUGCGGGAAGAUUGGAGCCAUCAGUGAGAUACCACUCUUGUAAUGUUAGAUUUCUAACUUUGUAUCAUGAUCUGGUCAAAGGACAGUUUCAGGCGGGCAGUUUGACUGGGGCGGUCGCCUCCCAAACGGUAACGGAGGCGUACAAAGGUUUCCUCUGAACGGGUAGAAAUCGUAUCUAGAGUGUAAAGGCAUAAGGAAGCUUGACUGUGAGACCUACAAGUCGAGCAGGGACGAAAGUCGGUCUUAGUGAUCUGACGGUGCUGAGUGGAAAGGCCGUCACUCAACGGAUAAAAGUUA
rnacentral:rRNA from 1 species